UACGUAGGGACCAAGCGUUGUUCGGAUUUACUGGGCGUAAAGGGCGCGUAGGCGGCAAUUCAAGUCAUCUGUGAAAUCUCCGGGCUUAACCCGGAACGGUCAGAUGAUACUGCUUUGCUAGAGUGCGGAAGGGGCAAUCGGAAUUCUUGGUGUAGCGGUGAAAUGCGUAGAUAUCAAGAGGAACACCUGAGGUGAAGACGGGUUGCUGGGCCGACACUGACGCUGACAGCGCGAAAGCCAGGGAGCAAACGGG
rnacentral:rRNA from 1 species